rnacentral:rRNA from 1 species
GCUCGAGUGGCGAACGGGUGAGUAACACGUGAGUAACCUGCCCUUGACUUUGGGAUAACUUCAGGAAACUGGGGCUAAUACCGGAUAGGACCAUGCUUUAGUGUGUGUGGUGGAAAGUUUUUCGGUGCAAGAUGAGCCCGCGGCCUAUCAGCUUGUUGGUGGGGUAAUGGCCUACCAAGGCGACGACGGGUAGCCGGCCUGAGAGGGUGUACGGCCACAUUGGGACUGAGACACGGCCCAG